AGGAAGAAAUUUGGGCUUGACUGAAGUAAUGGGGGCUGUCUGUGGAGCUUUGGGGCAGUACAGCCCAGGUAAUUUGCUGAGCCUGAUGGGUGUCAGGGUCAGUCCAAGUGAAAGCGAAGAGAGGCUGGGAUGAUGGGUGCAAAGGAAUAGUAAAGCAUGUUUGAGAUCCAGAACAGAAUAAUGGAUUGUGGAGGGAGCCUCUGUAUUGAUUAAGAAGGGGACGGACUUACCCUCCACUGUGAGAGUUACCUGAAGCUCGGAGUUCGUGAUGGUCUACGGGGCUUCCAAGGCGAUCGGGCAGCGUCAGUCUUCAGCCACUAAGCUGAGAAGGAGUCAGUGAGAGAGGCUUGGGCCAGAGUUCCAGGGGCUCUGGGAGUGGCUGCCAGGUGAGUUGAACAGUCCGAUUUCCAGUGGCAUCCCGCGAGGUUCUGGAGGAACGCCUGGCCCCUGCGGUUCAGGCAUUUGGAAGUUCUUAUGUGCUGGAGAUGU
rnacentral:lncRNA from 1 species